CCUGUGUAUGUGUAGGGACAGGUCCCAGCUGGUGGACAUGCUCAGGGCUGUCACCAAUGACCCACUUGGGUAUGCCACUUCCAAGCUCGCCUGGAGGACCACUUCCCUGGCUGCGGGAGCGGUCGCCUGGUAACCAGGAGAGCAUCCGUAACAUCCGGGAGCAGGAGAAACAGAAAGAACAGAGUCCUUGGUGUUUCAUCACACCUCAGGACUGAAGGACCCUGGGAGAGAAGGAGAACUUUCAGCACGAGCUUCUGGUCCCUGGCGUUGAGCCCUCUCUGUGGACCUCGAAGAUGGCGCUUUUGUGAGGGAAUCUGCUAUGGAGAAGACUUUUCCCAAAGCCGUUAUUUGUCAUUGGCAAACCAGCACAGCCAGAGUCACCUGAGAGAAGUCCAUGGGCUGGAGGGGACUCAUGCUGGGUCUCACACGAAAGCCAAGAGCUGGCCAGGAAGGGGCUUCCUCGGGUUUCUGUUUGAAGUUCCUGCCGUGAGGUCCCUGAAGGAUGGACUGUGACUUGGAAGUGAAAGCCAACUCUGAGCUGACACUGUGCAGCUGCCAGCUGAGAGGCUGAGUCCACUCGUCCACGUAUUUCCCUUGGUCACUUCAGCGGCCUGGACAGCCAACAUGGCAGAGGUGCAGUCUGGCCUGGAAGACCCACCGCUGGACGAGGAGUCGUGGGAGAGCGGCACAAAGUGGAGGGAGCGCUCUUACGACAGGCUUGGUCCUGGCUGGGGCAGUGAGAAGCAGUCCUGACAGAGCCGCCCAUGGCUGCAAGAGGUUGGCUGGUGCACUCUUCUCUGUGCCCUGAGGCUCCACACUGCCCUGGCAGAGCCCAGGACCCUCCUGCACCAGGGAGAGCGCCACGUCACCUCCAGACCCUCCGCGGACUGUCUGCAUUCUACAGGUGAAGGCGCAGAGGUCGGGCAGGACAGGACACAGAGCAGAGGCUGUGGUCCUCAGGCCUGCACCAUCCCACGCCAGGGGAGAGGACUGGUGGCAACCGUCCCAUGAGCGACUGUUGCAUAAUUAGGUGAGGAUGAAAAAUGCUGUUUGUCAUUAAACAAGCAAGCAGGGCAGCAGCGCCUCCGCAACAGCUGGGACGGCUCAGGAAGGCGAUGCUGGCCCGAGGUUGGUUCUGCCGGGAGACCAGAGUGGAGUCUGGAGGACGAGGCUGCACUCCAGGUGCCUUCCUUCCAGCACCAGUAGGCCUUGCUUGCUCCAACCUCAGGAUCGUUGCAUUGAUGGCUCGUCCAGCCUGGACCGCGUGUCCCACACACAGGUCUCCCUGCAGGCCUUCUUCUGCACCUUGGGCAGUCACAGCCCAGAUGUCUCCUGUCCCCCAUCACUGUUCUGCCACUGCUGUGGUCUCUCCAUCACAAUCUUGUCUGCCUAGGCAGACAGUGGAAAGGUAUCUGUCAGGGGCGGAAAGUCAGCCCCCAUGCCAACAUCCCAAAAACACAGUAGGCUCUCAACAUGCAUGUGUGAUGUCAUCUCUGAGUCGCUUUGUCUCUUUUUAGCCCACCCCUCUCCCUGUUCCGUGGCUGUAAGGCCAUUUCACCAGGAAGGGAAACUGGGGCAGGUCACCCCUCUCCAGCCUCCAACUCAAGGCAACUGCAUGGACAGCCUGAAUCUUACCUCACAGUCAUAGAGUCGAGCUGCACGGCCAGAUGCCCAGACACAAAUCUAGGCUUUCGCUGACUGGGGACCCUCCAGCAAGCAGGAGGCUAAGGCAAAAGGCUUGCCAGUUUGAGGCUAACCUGGCCUACAAAGUGAAACCAUGUCUCAAAAGCAAUCCCUUGGAGGCUGGGGAGAUGGCUCAGCAGGUAAGGCACUUACCAUACAAGCAUGAGGGCCCGAGUUCAAUCCCCACAAUUCACAUUAAAAAAAGCCUGGUACUGCAGCCUACCUCUGUAAUCUGAGCCCUGUAGAGGCAAAGACAGAAGGACCCCUGAGACUCACUGACCAGCAACUCUAUCAGAUCUGUGAGACCCUGACUCAAAAAAUAAAAUUCGGAGCACUAGGGAAAGACCCUCAAUGUUAACCUCCAGUCUCCACAUCUCUCCACAUGUGCAUGCCUGUGUAUACACCCCUCCCACAAACGCAAACAAGUAAUAUGAAGAUCUAGGAUGCAGACACUGACGUCAACCUGCACACACAGGAACACAUACGGCAUACACACAAAUUAGCUAAUAAAAAUCAAUUUUAUUUAUUUAUUUGCUUAUUUAUUUUGUUUUUGAGACAGGGUUUCUCUGUAGCUUUGGAGCCUGUCCUGUAACUCGCUCACCUCGAGGCUGGCCUCGAACUCACUCACAGAGAUCCACUGCCUCUCCCUCCCAUGCUGGGAUUAAAGGCAUGUGCAACCAACAUCCAGCUUCAAUUUUACUUUUAAAAAAGACAACAACAACAAAAAACCCCACAAGGAAGUAAGUGUCAUUGUCCUUAUUUUACAAGUGGGGAAACUGAGGCAUGGGGAGAUGAUGUCACUUAAGAACAGAA